AGUCAACAUGCCCAGGGGACGUGGAUAACCUCGGGAAACUGAGGAUAAACCGCGAUAGGCCAUGAUUUCUGGAAUGGUUCAUGGCCGAAAUCUAUAUGGCCCCUGGAUUGGACUGCGGCCGAUCAGGCUGUUGGUGAGGUAAUGGCCCACCAAACCUGUAACCGGUACGGGCUCUGAGAGGAGGAGCCCGGAGAUGGGCACUGAGACAAGGGCCCAGGCCCUAUGGGGCGCAGCAGGCGCGAAAUCUCUGCAAUAGGCGAAAGCUUGACAGGGUUACUCUGAGUGGUUCCCGUUAAGGGGAUCUUUUGGCACCUUUAAAAAUGGUGUAGAAUAAGGGGUGGGCAAGUCUGGUGUCAGCCGCCGCGGUAAUACCAGCACCCCGAGUGGUCGGGACGAUUAUUGGGCCUAAAGCAUCCGUAGCCGGUUUUACAAGUCCUCCGUUAAAUCCACCUGCUUAACAGAUGGGCUGCGGAGGAUACUAUGGAGCUAGGAGGCGGGAGAGGCAAGCGGUACUUAGUGGGUAGGGGUAAAAUCCGUUGAUCCAUUGAAGACCACCAGUGGCGAAGGCGGCUUGCCAGAACGCGCUCGACGGUGAGGGAUGAAAGCUGGGGGAGCAAACCGGAUUAAAUACCCGGGUAGUCCCAGCUGUAAACGAUGCAGACUCGGUG
rnacentral:rRNA from 1 species